rnacentral:rRNA from 1 species
CAGCACUUCGGUGGCUGACGAGUGGCGAACGGGUGAGUAAUACAUCGGAACGUGCCCGAGAGUGGGGGAUAACGCAGCGAAAGCUGUGCUAAUACCGCAUACGAUCUACGGAUGAAAGCAGGGGAUUCGCAAGGACCUUGCGCUCAUGGAGCGGCCGAUGGCAGAUUAGGUAGUUGGUGGGAUAAAAGCUUACCAAGCCGACGAUCUGUAGCUGGUCUGAGAGGACGACCAGCCACACUGGGACUGAGACACGGCCCAGACUCCUACGGGAGGCAGCAGUGGGGAAUUUUGGACGAUGGGCGAAAGCCUGAUCCAGCCAUGCCGCGUGCAGGAUGAAGGCCUUCGGGUUGUAAACUGCUUUUGUACGGAACGAAAAGAUCUCUUCUAAUAAAGGGGGUCCAUGACGGUACCGUAAGAAUAAGCACCGGCUAACUACGUGCCAGCAGCCGCGGUAAUACGUAGGGUGCAAGCGUUAAUCGGAAUUACUGGGCGUAAAGCGUGCGCAGGCGGUUAUAUAAGACAGAUGUGAAAUCCCCGGGCUCAACCUGGGAACUGCAUUAGUGACUGUAUAGCUAGAGUGCGGCAGAGGGGGAUGGAAUUCCGCGUGUAGCAGUGAAAUGCGUAGAUAUGCGGACGAACACCGAUGGCGAACGCAAUCCCCUGGGCCUGCACUGACGCUCAUGCACUAAAGCGUGAGGAGCAGAUGUGAUUAUAUACUCUGGCAUUCCCCUCCUUAUACCACGGCAAACUGGCUGGUAGGGAAUUUAUAUUUCUUCAAAACCUAAUACUACCCCCGUGAUUUUGAUUGU